CAUCUGGCACACAGGAAAACCCAUCGUCAUCAAUAUCAAACGAGCUUCCAUCACACAAGAAUGUUUAUGCAUGCGUGCUGUUGGUGAGACCACUUGUCCCACCUCGCUGGCUAUCAGGUCAACAAGACAGUCAUGCCUAGCAAUGUAUAAAUCCUUGUAUGAUCCCCAGCCAUUCACAACAUGGGCAAUGAACUCCAUUUCAUUUGACUCAUGUAGAAUACAAACUGGGUCACUAUCUGCAGAGUACCAGAGUGCUACACACACACACACUCUUGUGUAGUGCUAUUUGUCUCUGUGACUAAGUGCAAUACAUCCAGUGUAAUAAGGGGUUGUGUCACAGACCUCCAUGGCUGGAACCCCUACAGCCCCCUGCAAGUCACAGUCAAACACACACACACACACACACAAUCGUGAUCUCACUAUGCAAGGUGGUUAUCGCUAGCUCACACCUUCCCAGCAAGGCCCCUCUAAUUGGCCGUCCCCGACUGUGCUGCUGUGGAUUAUAAAUAAAGCUGUUUGGCUCGCAAUUAAACACUCUGAUUUAUACCGUGUUGGCAGGGCUGUGUGGCGUGAUUAUGCCUUAAAGAGUUAGAAUCCCCCACUUCUCCCCCCUAUGACACACUGGCUUAACCUCAUAGGAUUUAGCCUCAUAGGGUUUAGCCUGAUAGUGUUUAGCCUGAUAGUGUUUAGCCUGCUAGUGUUUAGCCUGCUAGCGGUUAGCAUGGCCGAGCUUCACCAGAGCGUCAUUGUCAAUUCGAAGCUUGCAGAAACUGUUACUGGCUCCUAUCCACCAGACACUGGUUGGCUGUUUUGUCACUUCAGAAGCCUCAGGGCUCUAAAUAGACCAGAAGCCUGGCAUAGGAGGCGCCGGGAGGGUUAACCGACAGACUGCGUUCCACAGGUGCAGAGAGAGAGAGUGGCAUUUAGGCUUCUUACACACAUCACCUUCCAAAGGCUCCGCUCAUUACAGCAGACAAAUGGCAAUCCCUCUGGCUGUGUGGCAGCCCUGCAGAGACUUCUCAGGGAGAUCUGUCUUCCAAAAGCUUCAGGUGACAAGUUCCAAAAGAGAGGAUCCCCUCGUUGUCACUGAUUAUGGGUGGUGGGGAUGGUGUUUUCAGGGAAUGUAGUCACACAUGCGCAGAGACACACGUACACACACAAUCAUGUUGAGUCUCUCUGUGAUUGUCGGCACCUUUGUUCUUGUUUCCUUCCAGGGAGACCAGGAGGAGGAGAGAGUACACGUCACCUUGGAACCUGGGGAGGAACACACCCAAAUGCUGGCACAGUCCAUUCUUACUUUUCCACACCUUAUCUUUCUUACUUUAUCGCUCUCUUUUUCUCUCUUUCAUCUCUUUGAACACAUUCCUUAAUAUGCCACCAUGCCAUGAUUAAAAAUGUUACCUUUCAAGACCUUAAUUCUUCUAAAAUGAAUGGUUGUCGGUUAGCACCUGCCUCAGCCAUAUGCUCUGAUCCAGGCAUGCUUAAUUCAAACAGUACCAAUCUUCACUUACACAAGUUGACAAUAUUCCUAAGAAAUUACCUUGAUGCAACAUAGCAGUGGAACGAGGAGCUAUUUUCCCCAGUCUAAAUUUCCUGGAAAUAAUUUUUGGGAUGCCAUCAGAAUUUCCAAUAUGAGGUCUUUGAAAGAAACUUGAGCUUACUCAGAAGUGACUGAGUCUCUCUAACUGACACACUCUCUCUCUCUCUCUCUCACACACACAGCGUCUGCUUUUUGCUGCUACAUGGACUACAGUAAACCUACAUCCUGCUUCUAAUGACUAUCACUCUAAAUGACCUUGUGCAAGUUGCUCUCUGUGGAUGUGUAUUUGUGAUGCGUUUAGAUCCUCUGUAUUCAGUCCUGUACUUGGUGAUAUCUGCCACUCCCUCCCCUGUGCCUUCUGUCUGUCAGUCAUAAUCAGUCAUAAUGUUGUUUUGUUGUUGUAAUAUUUCAUUUCAUUUUAAAAGUCUUAAUUAGUCAUGUGUGUUUCUAUAACAGUAGUCUGAGACAAAGCCAUUUUUCUGGUUUAAACCCCAGUUUUGGUGUUCAAAUGUUUUUACACAUUCACCUUCUGCUUGAGAUCCCACUCUAUUUGACUAUCCUUGUCCAUUCUCCAGCACAUCCAGUUCUCUCUCUCACUCCACCGCCACACCCCAGUACAUUCGGUUCCAACACCCUCCCCCCUGACUGACGCAUAUCGCUGCACAAACUAGAGUUUCACUGAGUCAGCACUGCUUUCUGAUGAUGAGAGAAGACUAUUCUACUUCCUGUCUUUUGUUGUUGCCGUUUGCUUCUCACUAUAUGGGAUUGGUAGACGGAGAGAGAGCCAACUGGGCACAGACUGGUUGAAUCAAUGUUGUUUCCACGUCAUUUGUGGAAUAGACGGUGAAUUAAUGUCUGUCCAGUGAUAGAAAGAGAGAGAGAGAUUCAUUCUCAGUGGCAGGACUUGAGGUGUUCGAGCUCGAUUCGGUCUGUCAUUGCUCUGGCUUGGAACAAUCAAAUGAAAUACCACUUUUUGAAGAUUUGCCACUUUUGUGUAUUACUUAAAUGGAGAAUCAGUAAUAUGACAGCAACCUCUUAGGUGGGAAUGACUGUACUACGCUUUAGCGAGGGCCUGGGAGUAGAAUGGAAUGGGGCAGACCACCGAGGUCACUGACAAUGUAACUGGUUUCAUUCAAUUGUCAUGUGAGUACAGAAAACUGGUUCCAAGAUUCUAUUUCUGUAAUUACUAGGAUUCUUUUAGGUUUUUGUUGUUGUUUGUUUUGGGGUUUUGAGCAUUCUGAAGUAGCUCUGUGUUUUCGGGGAUCAGUAUUACAACCAAUGUACAUGAUCAAUUUAUCUCUCAAUCCAAAAUUGGACAGAUGAAAUAAGACUGUAUAAAAAAAAAAGAAAACGUUUUAAAAUGCAUCACCAGCUAGCAUGCCAACAAAUGUAUGUUGAUAUUGUGAACAAUUGUGAUCUUGAAUCUAUGAAUAAAAUGGUCAUUACAUCGUU
ensembl:lncRNA